AGAGUUUGAUCAUGGCUCAGAUUGAACGCUGGCGGCAGGCCUAACACAUGCAAGUCGAACGGUAACAGGAAACAGCUUGCUGUUUCGCUGACGAGUGGCGGACGGGUGAGUAAUGUCUGGGAAACUGCCUGAUGGAGGGGGAUAACUACUGGAAACGGUAGCUAAUACCGCAUAACGUCGCAAGACCAAAGAGGGGGACCUUCGGGCCUCUUGCCAUCGGAUGUGCCCAGAUGGGAUUAGCUAGUAGGUGGGGUAACGGCUCACCUAGGCGACGAUCCCUAGCUGGUCUGAGAGGAUGACCAGCCACACUGGAACUGAGACACGGUCCAGACUCCUACGGGAGGCAGCAGUGGGGAAUAUUGCACAAUGGGCGCAAGCCUGAUGCAGCCAUGCCGCGUGUAUGAAGAAGGCCUUCGGGUUGUAAAGUACUUUCAGCGGGGAGGAAGGGAGUAAAGUUAAUACCUUUGCUCAUUGACGUUACCCGCAGAAGAAGCACCGGCUAACUCCGUGCCAGCAGCCGCGGUAAUACGGAGGGUGCAAGCGUUAAUCGGAAUUACUGGGCGUAAAGCGCACGCAGGCGGUUUGUUAAGUCAGAUGUGAAAUCCCCGGGCUCAACCUGGGAACUGCAUCUGAUACUGGCAAGCUUGAGUCUCGUAGAGGGGGGUAGAAUUCCAGGUGUAGCGGUGAAAUGCGUAGAGAUCUGGAGGAAUACCGGUGGCGAAGGCGGCCCCCUGGACGAAGACUGACGCUCAGGUGCGAAAGCGUGGGGAGCAAACAGGAUUAGAUACCCUGGUAGUCCACGCCGUAAACGAUGUCGACUUGGAGGUUGUGCCCUUGAGGCGUGGCUUCCGGAGCUAACGCGUUAAGUCGACCGCCUGGGGAGUACGGCCGCAAGGUUAAAACUCAAAUGAAUUGACGGGGGCCCGCACAAGCGGUGGAGCAUGUGGUUUAAUUCGAUGCAACGCGAAGAACCUUACCUGGUCUUGACAUCCACGGAAGUUUUCAGAGAUGAGAAUGUGCCUUCGGGAACCGUGAGACAGGUGCUGCAUGGCUGUCGUCAGCUCGUGUUGUGAAAUGUUGGGUUAAGUCCCGCAACGAGCGCAACCCUUAUCCUUUGUUGCCAGCGGUCCGGCCGGGAACUCAAAGGAGACUGCCAGUGAUAAACUGGAGGAAGGUGGGGAUGACGUCAAGUCAUCAUGGCCCUUACGACCAGGGCUACACACGUGCUACAAUGGCGCAUACAAAGAGAAGCGACCUCGCAAGAGCAAGCGGACCUCAUAAAGUGCGUCGUAGUCCGGAUUGGAGUCUGCAACUCGACUCCAUGAAGUCGGAAUCGCUAGUAAUCGUGGAUCAGAAUGCCACGGUGAAUACGUUCCCGGGCCUUGUACACACCGCCCGUCACACCAUGGGAGUGGGUUGCAAAAGAAGUAGGUAGCUUAACCUUCGGGAGGGCGCUUACCACUUUGUGAUUCAUGACUGGGGUGAAGUCGUAACAAGGUAACCGUAGGGGAACCUGCGGUUGGAUCACCU
rnacentral:rRNA from 1 species